GACAGAGGGUGCAAACGUUGUUCGGAUUUACUGGGCGUAAAGCGCGUGUAGGCGGCUUGGCAAGUCGGAUGUGAAAGCCCACGGCUCAACCGUGGAAGCGCACCCGAAACGGCCUCGCUCGAGUCUCGGAGAGGAAGGUGGAAUGCUUGGUGUAGAGGUGAAAUUCGUAGAUAUUAGGAAGAACACCGGUGGCGAAGGCGGCCCACUGGUCCGGUACUGACGCUGAGGUGCGAAAGCGUGGGGAGCAAACAGG
rnacentral:rRNA from 1 species